rnacentral:rRNA from 1 species
UACGUAGGGUGCGAGCGUUGUCCGGAAUUAUUGGGCGUAAAGAGCUCGUAGGCGGUCUGUCGCGUCUGCUGUGAAAACCCGAGGCUCAACCUCGGGCCUGCAGUGGGUACGGGCAGACUAGAGUGCGGUAGGGGAGAAUGGAAUUCCUGGUGUAGCGGUGAAAUGCGCAGAUAUCGGGAAGAACACCCGUGGCUAAGGCGGCUCUCUAGUACGGUACUGACGCUGAGACGCGAAAGCGUGGGGAGCAAACAGG